UUUGGCUGCUGGUCAAAAGACAUGGGAAAGAAAAAGAAACGUGGAAGGGGCCAAAUCAGCCUAAGCUACAGGGGUGGAUAGUGAUAGGAUGGGGGGAAAUGGUUUUAAACUGAGACAGGGAAGGUUUAGGUUAGAUAUUAGGAGGAAGUUUUUCACACAGAGGGUGGUGAUGCACUGGAACAGGUUGCCCAAGGAGGUUGUGGAUGCCCCAUCCCUGGAGGCAUUCAAGGCCAGGCUGGAUGUGGCUCUGGGCAGCCUGGUCUGCUGGUUGGCGACCCUGCGCAUAGCAGGGGGGUUGAAACUCAAUGAUCAUCGUGUUUCAACCCCCCUGCUGUGUGCAGGGUCACCAACCACCAGACCAGGCUGCCCAGAGCCACAUCCAGCCUGGCCUUGAAUGCCUCCAGGGAUGGGGCAUCCACAGCCUCCUUGGGCAACCUGUUCCAGUGCGUCACCACUCUCUGUGUUAA
rnacentral:lncRNA from 1 species